CAGGGGAGGCUAUAAAGGGAACUGCUGGCAGCGCAACUCGGUCUUUUACGUCUGGAUUUCGGAGGCGUUGUGUCGUUUUUGGAACAAUGGCUCUCAGUGGCAUAACGGAGCUGUUACCUGGAGAUGUUCAGAUACAAAGGAAAACUAGAAAAUACAUGAGGGAAUAUUUGCUGGGAAAUUACUUGGUUGGAACCUGACCAUUUUACCCAGCAUCCUGGGAGUUGAUGAAUACUAACAGACCUACAAAUGUCACUGGCUAGCAACGUAAUUUUUAAAUGAGGGGUCGCUGUCUUUCCAUUGAAAGAGGCCAGUUUGCUGUGACCUUCCUAAGAUGUAACCCAUUUCUGGUUAAUACCACCAGAUUUACUUGUGAAAAAUCGAUAAGGAAAAGCUCUUCAUUUAACUGACAUGGGAAGAAAACCUACAAAUCAAGACAAUAUUUUUUUUAUUUCUGUAAACAGGUUAUGAAACCGCAUCAGAUUCAGAUUAAUGUAUUUGUAAGAUUUAAGCCAUUACUUUUUAUGUCAUACUGCCCUAGAGAAUCCUAACCUGUUAAGCAGAUUACUUUGUAGAUCUGUUUCUAUUUUAAAUACAGGAAUGCAAAGGAAGGUACAUAUUUUUAAUGGAGAAGUCUUUGAUUUCAGUUAACCAGACUUGUAAUCAGCUUAUUGUGAAUGUUUCACCUUUGGCCACCUGUUUGAAUUUAAAAUCUACGAUUGUAAUUAAAGCUGAGUGAAAAUUUACACUGAAUAUUGUGGAAAAGUCCUUACAUUUUUAUGGAGAGAUGACUCAUUUUGGCAGUAUCACACGGUACAGAUCAUGUUGGGUUUUGUAGCAUACUGAAUAUUACUGGAUUAGUGGUGAGCAAAACGGAAAGACUGAGUCUAUUACUGGGGGAGGGGAAAAUAACAGGUAUUACUGGUUCUAAUUACUGAAUUCUGGAAUGUUUGGUCCUAAUGAAUUAUAGUUUGAAAGGAUGCUCAAGAUGGAAAAUGUGAGGGACACCUUGGUGGCUCAGUAAAACAUUUCAGCUCUUCCAUGCUGGGUAAGAAACCUACUUUAAAAAAAAAAAGAUGGAAAAAUGUGGAAUGCUGAAAAUGAAGAGAGCACAGCAUGACAGCGGGUCAUGGGGGAAGUUCACUGAUAAAACCAAACAUUGCAUAGAAUGGAUUUAGUGUAGACAGUAAUAGCAUCUGAUCUAACCAAGAUGGUUUGGCCCCAUGCAUGAUCAUUUUCCCUAAAUAGCUACAUGAAUAAAUUGUUGCUAAGCCUAUACUUCAGUGUUAGUCAAAAGAAUAUUCUUGUCAGCUUAUGAUUAUGAACUACCUUUUUUCCUAAAAUGUUUUCUUAGUGCAAAUACAACGUUGGACCCAUGUAGUUUAAGAGGCUCAGUGACAACCAUGCCAUUUAGUGACACACCCACAAAGAA